UUUUCUAGUUGAAGAUCCUACGUUCCAACUACCUAGGUGAAUCCUACACUCCUAUACUAGCUUUUUUACCUAACUCAUCCAUCAAAAUGCGGGAACCCUUUCCUAUUAUUAUUCUGCACCAUAUGUAGGCACUGACAUGGUGAGACUAACUUCUUAACCAACACAAGUCCAUGAUUUGGGAACGCUUGCCUAUACUCCAACAUAUCGAGGCAGUGAUGUGGCAAAACCCCAUAGUCGUUUAAUACUACACCUGGGUGCCAAUAUAGUGGGGGCCUAAGUGAGCGCCCCCCAACAUUUGUCAUGAGGAUUCAUAUUAUGAGAGAUGAUUAAAUUUUAUGUUGGUCGUCAACCUACUACAAUCCUCUUCUUUUAUCUGGGCUUGGGACUAGCUAUGUUUUGCUAAACUCACAUAGGUGGAGUUAGUAGUUUUUAUUACUUAAAAGAGGAAAAAAUAAAGAAGAAAGCAAAGCACAUAUACAAUGCUUAAUGGCUAUUAUUUAAAUCUACACAUUUUAAUGCUUAAUGGUUGUUAUUUAAAUCUAUUGUACAUAAUGGAAACUUUUGCGUCAUUGAUUGUUCAAGCUUUUAGUUCAACUAAGUCAAAAGCUUUGUAACAAAAAGGUAUUAUUGUGCCCACAUGACUUGUGCUGAAAUUUAGAAUAAUACAAAAGAUAGGAGAAAAUAACAAGAGAAGGAUUUACGUACUUUGGCUACCAAGAGCCUUUGUCCACAUCUCCACGGACAUAAAAUCUCAAAGGAUUACAUUUCAUUCACACGUGUGUUAACAUAAUACGUAAGUAAGACUACAUAUUCAUAAUGGAAGAUACAAGGGAUAUAUAUAUAUCCUAUCAAUAAACCAUAAAUCACUCCUUUAUACAAGCUUUAAUCAAGCCAUUGAUUUUGCCGAUCAAUUAUAUGAUUUUCUCAUAGUCAUGAGAUUCUUCAAUACUCUUCGGCUAGUCGUGUAUGGAGUGAUGAUGAAGUGCUCAACUUGCAAAUGGUGAUGUUAGGUAGAAACCCUAACUGGUUCUCAACAGAGUAAGAAAUAGAGAAAGAGAGAAUAAAAAGAAGAAGAAGAAGAAGAAGGAAAGAAGAGAGAGGGAAAGUACAGAAGUAAGAGGAGAGAAAAGUAUCUUAUUGAUUAGAAAUCUUGAAUGAAUACAGAAUUGCCCCUAACUAUCUCUUUUAUAUAAUCUGUCCUCUAACUAUACUGCUUAGUAACAACUGGUGACAGCUUUCAACAGUUGUAACCAACUUUCCCUCCAUUAUCUCCCUCCAAUACAAUUCACAACUGGUGACAGCUUUUUACAGCUAUGACCAACUUUUCCUCUACUAUUUCCCUCCAAUACAAUUAAUAUAUUUCUGUUUCUAUACUUUCUCCUGCUAUAUGUGACAGGUGAAUAUGGAUAACUGAAAAGAACCGAAAUGCUCAUCAGUGCUGAAAUUGGAUAGAAAUGAAGAAAUAGAUGAAAGGAGAAGAAAAUAGAGAAGAAUGGGCUGAAAAGCGACAAAUGAAAAUUUUGUGGUAGAACUUGAAGAAAGUCACAACACCUGAGUUGUGCAUGAGAAGUAGCAAAAACUAAAUUCUAGAGAUUAGUAGAAACAGAAGGAGGACUGUAGGAGAAGUUAGCUAGCAGUAGACGGCCAACAGUAAGCCAAAGGAAAUAGAUCAACAGAAGCAAAAGCAAGACAAGUGUGCUAGCAGUAGUCAACCAACAGCAAGCCAAAAUAAGCUACACGUGGAGGCAGUAGACUAAAACAACAAUCCAAAUAGGAAUAGAAGAUGGCUUUCAGAAACAGUAAGAACAAAGGUCCAACUUACUGUGAUGAACAAAAACUAAAGUAGAAGCAGAGGAAAAAAAAACUAUUAACAUGGUAGUAUUUAAUCCAAACAAUAGCAAAGACCCAAAUUCAAAGAAGAUUUGGCAAGCAAAAAGAGAGAAACAAUAGACCAAGACUGAAAAUGGUUACCAUGCUGACUGAAAAUGACUGUUGUGAUGUUGCAUUGAUUGAGGAUUCAAGGCACCUAGAUGAAAAAUAGAAGCAGGUUGGAGGCGUUGUGGUUUGGUGAGGGUACAUGGGUGAUUUUUCCAAGUCAGUAAUGAGGCUCUGCGUUGCGAGACAGAAAUAGAGUGCUGGGCUAUGAAACCCCAGAUCAAAGAAAGAACAAUAAAGGAAAGAGGGGAGAGAUGAAGACCAAGAAAUCAAACUUUAAGCUCUGAUAACAUGUUGAAAUUUAGAAUAAUAGAAAAGAUAGGAGAAAAUAAUAAGAAUCAACUAUCAAGAGCCUAUGUCCACGGACACAAGACUUCAAAGGGUUACAUUUCAUUCACUUGUAUGUUAACACAAUACGUAAGACUUCAUAUUUACAAUGGAAGAUACAAGAUACAUAUGGCAUCUUAUCAAUAAACUGUAAAUUACUUCUUUAUAUAAGCUUUAUUCAAGCCAUUGAUUUUGCUAAUCCAUUACAUUAUUUUUUCAUGAUGAUGAGAUUCUUCAGUGACUUGGAAAUAUAAAAUCUUGAAUUACUUUUAGCUUUGUCAAAUGAACGUUUAGCAUGAUACCAAUGAAGCUCAAUUAGGCUUAUGAAAGUUGGAUUUCAAGGUAGGUUGGUGAAUGGCAUUGGUGUUUCUUGAGAUUUGAAGGAUGGAAGGAAGAGAUAUGUUUAAUAUGCAUUAAAAUUUUAGUUAAGACCCAAAACUUUUUUAUUAGUAAAAUUUGUUCUACUUUCCAUAUAGUAAUCUUACUGUUUUAUUUGUUCGGAAAAGUCUUUUUUAUGGUUAGUGGAAAUAUAUGCUAGAUUUGACCUAUUAUUAUACUCCUCCAUGUUGAAAAUUAUACGUGCCUAAUAUUAUUUUGUUUAUAGUUUCAUUCUUGCUUGAAAUGAAGGUUGCAAAUAUACUUUUAUAUGUAUUUUAGAUCUAUAGUAAAAAAAACUAAUGGAAGAACUCUGAUUUGUGUUCACUUCUCAACUGCAAUUUCAUGCGUGAUUGAGUCAGGCUGUUUGAUACACCUCUCAUAUUCCCUUUCAUAACUUUUAUAAACCUUCUUUAUAUCAUCAUUCAAGCUGAGUGAGCACUAUUCAUCCUAUUUUCAAUACUUACGAUUCAAUGACAUUCACCAUUCCAGUUGUUUCAAGAUCUCAUUACAAAGAUGAAAACUGGUGGAUGGCAUAUUUGGGAUGACCUCUACCAUCUGAGUUGUGGAUAAAGAGUUCGUCCGCUGCUCAUUCAUCUAACAUUUUUGGGAAAAUAGUGAAAUUGUUUUUGUCAUACCUGGUUUCGGUCUCAAGAUAGUAAUGCCACUUCUGUCCUCUCUUUCGUCUUCACCUUUCUUUAUUAAAAUGUGGUGCUUGUCAAUUACCCAAGCUUCACUUUGUCUCAUAUCCUUCUUUGGGUUUUGAUACAAAUUCACACUUCUUUCUCAUAGAUAACUUUGUUGGGUUUCUUGUAGAUUAUCACAUUUCGUUAAAAAAUAUGUUUUUGUGAAGAUAUACUGCUAUAGAUUUAGUAGAGCCUUACACGUGAUAUCUGGUUUCCUUAUCCCUUUUAGUUGAAAUGCUGCUUUAUUAGAUUUUUAUUCAUUGGUUCAUAUAUUAAAGUAAAGCUCUUGAUUCUUAAACAUAUUAAUAUGAACAAUGUAAUUCAAUAUGCAUAAAAAAAUUUUAAAAAAAAAAACUUAUCAUUUUCUCCUUAAGAGUCUUCUUAUGUUGUUGCUAAAGCAUGAUUUGUUCAAUUAACCUUCUAUGGCAAACUAAGGGAAACUAUGGCAAGUUAUGAAACAUUUUUUGUGCCAUCACCAUAGUUGCUAGAUCUCCUAACCCCCUGGGUUUCGCAGCGCAGAUCUCAUGUUCCAAAACGCAAGACUUUUGCAUUCCAAAUCUCUUGGGAACGCGUUCUGAUUCUCUAAAUCAAGCAAUCCCAUUUCAUUAUGCUCAACACAAAUUCAAAGUGAAGAAGAAGAAGAUCCUAUUCAUUUU
rnacentral:misc_RNA from 1 species